AUUUUAAAAACUUCAGUUGUAUCACCUCUUUAUUUCUGUUUGCUUAAAACACAUAAUAAUAUUAAAGAACCCAGCUGUCCUGUGCAGUCACUUCUUUCCCUACAUGACUAUUAGCACUAACACCAGUAGAUUCCAUUAGAUAUUUUUUCCGCAGGUUAUAAGACCACUCAGUGGUUGCUCAUACUGAUACUUCCACGAUUAUAAUACUUAUGUAUUUUCUGAUCUUGAAUGGUUGUACUCAUUGUCUGUCACUGGUAUUAUGCCACUGUCACUAGUCAGUCAGUCACUUCUGCAGGUCACAGGUCAUAAGACCACUCAGCGGUCGUUUAAAUGGACAUCUGCAUAGGUAUAUUAUAUUACUUGUGCAUCUUCUAAUCUUGAAUGGUGUGCUGCUCAUUGCUGUACUCGUUGUCUGUCGUUGGUAUUAUAGUACUGUCACUAGUCAGUCAGUCAUGUCUGC